GCAGGUUUGGAACUUUUGAAGAAGAUGUGCUCACCCGCCAAAGUGUGUCUGCCAGUCAGAUCAUCAAAAGGCUAUUUAAGGUCCAUUCUUUGAACAAGAAACAUGUUUUUCAGAAGUGCCCUCAGAUUUUGUAACAGCCAAGAAAUCCAACAUUUUGGCCCAGUAUGGCUUUCUUUUAAAAUUAAAAAGUUGCAUAUACCUACAGUUGAGUCCACCAACUACACAGAAUCUGCUGUUUACUUUACACUAUGGCAGCAUCACCAGAGCACGGCUUUCAGUGACGUUUUCAAGAGUACUCCAGAGUUUACUGUGAGACCGAUUUUAAUGCAGCAGUACUGCGGGACCUAGCUCACAAAACAGCUUUACAGAACUGCUUGGGCCCUGCAAAAUAUGAGGGACCAGGGAACUGACAGAAGGUAUAUGGAGGAGAGACAGGGAAAUGUUCUUAUAUGAUCUGAUGUGAACCCUUAAAAAGGUUAGUUAAGCUAUUCGUUGCUGAAUUAGGAGCAUCAAACAUUCCAUCAGGCUGCUGCAGACUUAAGAUCCACUAAACCUUGUAAGAUUUGUCAAGAGUCUGACAGACUUAGUAAAGUUCAACAAAGAACUGUCUGGUGUUAAAAAUAUCACUAGACUGUACAGAGGUGUAAAUCAAGGUGUAAGAAGGAGACAAGGCUGGCACCAUCUUCCUCAGCUCAUGUGGAGGACAGUGGGGCAAAGAUAUCCAAGAAUGGUGAAGACUAAUCUGUAACUAAUUCCUCGCCACAAAACCAAUUUAGCACCACGAGAGAUGGAAAUAAAGGAACUAGCUGUA